GGUUCGGUGGUGUAGUUGGUUAUCACGUCAGUCUAACAACGGUUUAACAAUCAGUUAGUACACUGAAGGUCCCGAGUUCAAACCUCGGCUGAAUCA